GUAACACAAAAUAUGUAUUUUAAAAUAGAUGUAUUUAUUUAUUUGUUUAGGAAUUGGCUCACGAGAUUACAGGAGCCGGCGAGUCCAAAAUCUGCUGGUCGGGGACCCAGCGAGGAUCGAGUCCAAUGAGGUUCUGCUGCAGCCUCCGCUCUGGCUCUGGGAAGGUGCCCACAGAAGGAAGUGAUUCCAGUGACUCCCUGGUGUGAAGGCACCAGGACGGAUGUCGCCCGAACCAGGGUCCUCCUGCGACCUAGGCUGCCUGUUGUGCCACUGAUGUGGGCCCUGUGGUACUGGAGACACAGGUAGACUGUACCCAGGACAUUUGUGCCUUGGAAGUUCUUGGCAGGGUCCGG
rnacentral:lncRNA from 1 species